rfam:Ricinus communis cultivar Hale ctg_1100012358662, whole genome shotgun sequence.
AAUUUAUGAUAUCGACAUUGAAUCAGAUAAACCUUGAAUCUCUCCCAAGCAUCUUAAAAAUAUUCUCCUUCUUUCUGAGUGAAAUUACAAAUCCUAAAUCUGUAAUC